GGGGGCGAACUGGCUUCGACGGAGGAUGGACUGCGUCUGGUGCGCGCCGUGGUUGGUCACGAGGCCACGUAAAAACGAGACCAAGCAGAAACGCGAACGAGCCGAUGGCUCUCGCGGCCUAAAGUGCCGCGCGUCCCCCCGUGAGCGUCGGGUAACGGGUCAGGACGUCAGCUCCGACUGGACCUGGGCGGGAAGCGAGCCGCCUUGCCUGGGUCGAGACCAAAGGGCGAGGACGUGAGCGGUAGGAGGCCCGGGGCCAGCCGUUCACGUAUUCACUCCGGGAUACGCGCGUAGAACCUCUCGUAGAAAGUCUUUCGGACCCGGGUUCGAUUCCCGGCGCCUCCACCA
rnacentral:tmRNA from 1 species